CAGCACCUCAAGUGGUCAGGAUGAUUAUUGGGCCUAAAGCAUCCGUAGCCGGCGCUGUAAGUUUUCGGUUAAAUCUGUACGCUCAACGUACAGGCUGCCGGGAAUACUGCAGCGCUAGGGAGUGGGAGAGGUAGACGGUACUCGGUAGGAAGGGGUAAAAUCCUUUGAUCCAUUGAUGACCACCUGUGGCGAAGGCGGUCUACCAGAACACGUCCGACGGUGAGGGAUGAAAGCUGGGGGAGCAAACCGGAUUAGAGACCCGCGUAGUCC
rnacentral:rRNA from 1 species